rnacentral:rRNA from 1 species
GACGAACGCUGGCGGCGUGCUUAACACAUGCAAGUCGAACGGAAAGGCCCUUCGGGGUACUCGAGUGGCGAACGGGUGAGUAACACGUGGGUGAUCUGCCCUGCACUUUGGGAUAAGCCUGGGAAACUGGGUCUAAUACCGGAUAUACCUCAUGGGCUGCAUGGUUUGUGGGGGAAAGCUUUUUGCGGUGUGGGAUGGGCCCGCGGCCUAUCAGCUUGUUGGUGAGGUUAUGGCUUACCAAGGCGACGACGGGUAGCCGGCCUGAGAGGGUGACCGGCCACACUGGGACUGAGAUACGGCCCAGACUCCUACGGGAGGCAGCAGUGGGGAAUAUUGCACAAUGGGCGCAAGCCUGAUGCAGCGACGCCGCGUGAGGGAUGACGGCCUUCGGGUUGUAAACCUCUUUCAGCUCCGACGAAGCGUAAGUGACGGUAGGGGUAGAAGAAGGACCGGCCAACUACGUGCCAGCCGCCGCCGUAACAC